ACCUACAGCUUCAAGCGACGUAGAUGGCUCCCUUGUUGAUUUCCAUCUCCAAACUUUCAUCAUCAACCAAACGCAGCUCAUGGUAUGUGCGAAGCUUAGGACGAACGAGAUCGAAACCGGUUCGUGCUUGAAUAGAAAAAUCAUACGCAGAGUUGAAGAACACGAAACGAAGCAGAGAAGAGAGACUAACCACAACGGUGAUGCGGCACACACAUGUACGAAAUCUCGUCCUUCUUGGCUCGACCUUAUUCUUCUUCCUUUUGAGAAUUCCUGUUGUUGCUGUGUUUUUGGCUUGUUGCUUCGAGUGAGAUGUAAUGGAUAUAGAAACCUUGUUGUGUGCGUGUGAUGCAUAGAAUGGAGAUUGUGCAGAAGAUUGUAGAAGAUUAUGAAUUGGAUGCAGAGUGAAACUUGAAGUUGCAGAGUGAAGAUCUCGAUCCUUAGAGGUUUUAAGGGAAGGACUCUACUUGUUGAAGAACACAUGGUUUGUUGUGCACAUACAGGUGCGUGUGUGCUUUGGAUUUUUCUCAUGGCCAUGUGUUUUACUUGGACAGAAAAUUGAAAAUGUAUGCUCUACUUUGUGUGAGUCCUGACUUUGUAUGGUAUGUGCAUCUUGCUGGUCCAUAAAAUUGCUUCUAAGUGAAGGACAGAGUUUACAACAAAAUAUGCCAUUAUGCAGGUCACACAGUCUGAACAGGGCAUGUUGUUGGUCACUUGGUUUGCUUGUAUCAUUUUCAAGGUGUUCAAUUUCUUGAGCUUAUUUGCGUGUGUUCAAUUGCUUGUAAAAUUGCAAUGAGAUGUGAUGAAAGCUCAUGAAGUUUUAUUUUGGUGUAAGUGAAUGGUGUAUGAACUCAUUGAUUGAAUGAAGAGGCUUGUAUGAAUGUAAUGAAAAGUUUGAAAAGUUCGGUUAUGAAUUGAAUUCUUAUUGUUUU